AAGUUGUUGCGGUUAAAAGCUCGUAGUUCGAGCUCAGUUCCGGACUGGCCGGGGAGGUCACCGCCCGGUGCUUCCCCGUCAGGCUCCGAACAGCCUUCGUGAGCGGAGGCCAAGCCGGUUCUGCCGGGGUGCUCUUUACCGAGUGUCCCGCGCGGCCGGCCAGUUCACCUUGAAUAAAUGAGAGUGCUCAAAGCAGGCUACUCUCGAAUACAAUGCCCGAAUGUUACCUGCAUGGAAUGAUGGAAGAUGAUCUCGGUUCCAUUUUAUUGGUGGUGGGAGCCCGAGGUAAUGAUAAACAGGGACUGUCGGGGGCAUCCGUACUACGACGCGAGAGGUGAAAUUCAGUGACCGUCGUAGGACGAACAACAGCGAAAGCAUUUGCCAAGAAUGUCUUCGUUGAUCAAGAACGAAAGUUAGAGGAUCGAAGGCGAUCAGAUACCGCCCUAGUUCUAACCCUAAACGAUGCUGACUAGCAAUUCGCCGUCGUUAUUCCCAUGACGUGGCGAGACGCCCCCGGGAAACCUCAAGUCUUUGAGUUCCGGGGGUAGUAUGGUUGCAAAACUGAAACUUAAAGAAAUUGACGGAAGGGCACCACCAGGAGUGGAGCCUGCGGCUUAAUUUGACUCAACACGGGAAACCUCACCAGGCCCGGACACCAGAAGGAUUGACAGAUUAAGAGCUCUUUCUCGAUUUGGUGGGUGGUGGUGCAUGGCCGUUCUUAGUUGGUGGAGUGAUUUGUCUGGUUAAUUCCGGUAACGAACGAGACUCUGGCCUACUAAAUAGUCGACGGGCGUUUUGGUGCAUGGGCCCCGUUCGACACAGUCUUCUUAGAGGGAUGAGCAGCGAGUAUAGCUGCAGGAGAUUGAGCAAUAACAGGUCUGUGAUGCCCUUAGAUGUCCUGGGCCGCACGCGCGCUACACUGAAUGGGUUAGCGGGUUGUCCUUCUCCGAGAGGAGCGGGAAAUCGCUUGAAAACCAUUCGUGAUAGGGAUUGGGGCUUGCAAUUGUUUCCCAUGAACGAGGAAUUCCCAGUAAGCGCAAGUCAUCAGCUUGCGUUGAUUAAGUCCCUGCCCUUUGUACACACCGCCCGUCGCUACUACCGAUUGAAUGAUUUAGUGAGGCCUUCGGACUGGCGGUCUUGGACUGGGGCGCCGGCGUUCUCCAGCGAUGGGGUGCCGGCGACCCGCCUAGACGGGCCGGAAAGAUGUCCAAACUUGAUCAUUUAGAGGAAGUAAAAGUCGUAACAAGGUUUCCGUAGGUGA
rnacentral:rRNA from 1 species